CCUACGGGAGGCAGCAGUGGGGAAUAUUGGGCAAUGGAGGCAACUCUGACCCAGCAACGCCGCGUGAAUGAUGAAGGUCUUCGGAUUGUAAAGUUCUUUUCUAAGGGAAGUAGAAAGUGACGGUACCUUAGGAAUAAGCCUCGGCUAACUACGUGCCAGCAGCCGCGGUAAUACGUAGGAGGCAAGCGUUAUCCGGAAUGACUGGGCGUAAAGGGUGCGAAGGUGGUUUGACAAGUUAGUAGCGAAACUCCGGGGCUCAACUUCGGAACUACUACUAAAACUGGUGGACUUGAGUGCAGGAAGGGCAAUCGGAAUUCCUAGUGUAGCGGUGGAAUGCGUAGAUAUUAGGAGGAACACCAGUGGCGAAGGCGGAUUGCUAGACUGUAACUGACACUGAGGCACGAAAGCGUGGGGAGCAAACAGGAUUAGAUACCCCAGUAGUC
rnacentral:rRNA from 1 species